CUUGGAGCCAGUGGACCCUAAACUGAGAUGGAGAGUGAAGAUGGGCAUAUGACACUGAAUGUCCAGAAUUGUUUCAAAUCCAGCCAGAGAUCUGAAGGUAAAAAUAUUGCUCCCCCAAUUCAGACUGCAGCUUAAAACUGCAUUAUUCUCCUAGGAAGAUAAUUUAACGUAUUAAAACUGACCAUAUUCUGGGAUUUUUUUAAAUAAAUAGUUGUAAAUUUUCUAAGAUAGAUUUUUUUUUUAGAUUCAUGUAGACACCAAGAAUAAAAAGGUAGCAUUUUCAUAGCCAGAAUCAGAGAAAAGUUGGUAUCAUAUGUAAUCCUUGGUGUUGUGAUAUCAUAAUUAGAAUGUAACUUUCAAAUAAAAAUAGUGUUUUUUACAGAAAUCAUUCCUGCUGCAAAACAGGUUCAUGGAAACACUUAUGAUAUCUUUGAAAGUAUGUGUAGUGAAAACACCUAUUAUAUUAAUAGCUGGAAGGUAAGAUCUAGCAGUGGUGGUGAGAGGAACAGUGGUCCCGCAGUGAUUUAGAAAGUACACGUAUAUAGAUAUGUAGUAUAUUUUUAAUUUUCACAAAAGCCCUGUAAGGAUUGGCAGAACAAUUCAUUGGGAAUGACAGAAGGGCAAAAGAAAAGAAAACAUUAAUCAUUGCUACUAGGAUUACUGUGUCGGUUGUUUUAUUGUUUGCUUUUUCAGGUCUGUUACAGACCCUAUUUACAAGUUUAAUAAAUAACAUUCUGGUGCCUGAAUUCAGUUUGUCUAAAAGGAAUUUUGAACCAGUGCACUACAGGAUCAUUAUUUUUGUGAUGAAAGUGAUUGGCCUGAACUUUUGGGAUGAGUAAUGGAGUUUUAUUUAGUUGUACACUUUCAGAAGGUAAGGUAAUACUGAGGUAAGCUACACAGUCUAGCCCCAAAUUGGUAAACUGACCACCCGUAUACGUCACAUUACAAACUUAUAUUAAAUUUAAGACAAAUUAAGAAAUGCUCAAGUAUAAAAUUAGCAUUUAUUCUACAUUUUUUCUUUCAAAGAAUCUCCAAGAAAUAUUGACUUUAUCAUCUCAUAAUAAAAAUUAAUAAUGUAUUUUUUAAAAAAUUAUAUGUGCUCAUUGGUAUCACUUUGAGAGAUAAAGAUUUAAAUGUACGAAAGCAUUAAUUUUUAAAAAAGGACAUCUUUGAAAACCAUUUUAGGUAGACCACUAGACUUUUCAUUUUCUUCCUGAAGUGGUAUUUGUAUGUGUAUUCUGUAAAAACAACCAGACUAGUUUACAAUUUCAGUAAUUUUCUGUCUCACUCUUAUGCCUGUGAGCUGUAAUGGGCAGUGUCUUACAUAUAAUACUGACAUAAAACAUAAACUCUUGAGGCCUUUGAGAUGAGAUUUCUCAACUUGGUGACCCCUAAAGCAACUUCUCUGAGACAAAGAAGUAAGGGAUUUAUUUUUGUAUUGAGCAAUUAUAUUUGUUUUUAUGUUUUUCCUAAUACAACAAAGGAAUGUAUCAGACUUCUCUCAGACCAAAUACACAUACUCUACUUAAUGUAAUUUUUCUGUAAUUACCAAUCUAUCUCUUAAAUGUCUUCAGUGCUUAUACUGAAAUCAAUUACUAAUAAUAUGAAAAUUUCCCCCAAUUUAGCUUUCAAUAUUAGAUGACUAAUUUUAGUUAGCAUUGAUUUCUGUUAACCAGCAAUUCUAGGGAGUUGAACUCAUUGUAAUUAAUUAUAGAUGUAUAGAAUUUAUAAAUUUAUAGAUUUAUAAAAUUUAUAGAUUUAUAGAAAUAAUAUAGAACUCAUUGUAAUUAUUAUAGAUUUAAAAAUGCUCCUAGAAUUCAGGAGCAGUUUCUUGUUAGGCACUGAGUAUGAUCUUCACAGGCUACCAUGAUCUCUUGUGAAUCAGUUUUCUCUUCUGUAAAAUAUAAAUGGUAAAAUGACAUUAUUGAUACAAUAAUCAUUCUUUUAGAGACAAAUGCUACUGAGGAGAAGUGAAUAAAAUUUGACAUAUUGGUAAAUUAUUUGUAGGAAAAUUGUUUUUUUCCUAGUGAUAUGUUUUAUUCUAAUAAAUUAGUGACAAUUUGAAUGAACUUGAAGGAGGAGGGAGAUAGCCAUGUGGAUAUAUGGGGGAAUGUCAUCCUGGCAGAAUUGUGUGAAGAUCCUAAGACCAGUGUAUGCCUGGCACAUUCCAGAAAGAGUGAGGAAGGCCGUUGUGUCUGGAGGAAGAGAGUAGUGGGAGAUGAGGUCAGAUAAAUCACAACAGGCUAUUUUUGAUUUUGGCAUCCUAAUGUCUCUGGCUAAUCUAAGUGAAAUGGGAAGAUGGACAAUUAUUUUGAGCAGAAUAAUAGCGUGAUCUGACAUACAUUUAAAAGAUUCACUCUGAGUAGUGUCAUCAAGGUAAAGUGGAAUGGGAUGAAAUAUACUCACCUAGCCUGAAAAAGUAUGCUUUUUAAUAUGUUUAAAUUCCUGCCUGUCAUGAUCAUAUAGUUCACCCACUACCCUUUCUUUGUUUCAUUCUCUUUCCUUCUUUAUUUGUCAAAUUUUCAUUAUUGAGCAUGCUGGCUCUUUUUAAUAUUAUUUCCAUCUCAGCACAGCUUGAUGGCAAUUUCAUCAUUAUCUGAUGCAAUCUGGCCCCCUUCCAAUAUGAUAGUCACCACCCCAGCCAUGACCUUGAAAAUGCCACAUCCUCCUUUUGAUGAUGAUGGUCAUCUUUUGUAGCACAAUAAUCUGAAACAUUUAGAAAAUGUUUGGCUCUUGCACAACAUGUAAAUUAAUAAUAAUUUAACAAAGCCUAUAUUUAGCCUGCUAACACAAUUUAUACAGUAAUAAAUUCCAGUCCCUGUAAAGAAUGAAAAGUUGUUGACAAAAUUUGCUUCUUGUGAUGCUAAACAUAUAACAUCUACUUUUUUUCUAUACUUUCCCCCAUACUGAUUAAAUGUCUGCAAUGUGCAUGAGGUAUCACUAAGUUUCAAAUGUGGUUACCAUUUACUACCAUUGCAGGUAAAUAAUCUAAGCUUUCAUUUGCUCAUUUAUUUAAGAAAAAUUGAUAUAAAAUAUUUACCAUUAAGGGGUGAAAAUACUUUGAAUAAUUCAUGGUAUAAAUUAAUACUCAAAAGAGAAUACUCAUUAUAUUAGGAAAUGUAAAAAUGAAUAAAAUAAAGCUAAAGUGAAAUAUUAAAAGGUGCAGAUAUUUUUAAUGAUAGCUGGAUAUCACCUCUUGCCUUCUGUUUGUCCAAGACCUGUUUAAGUACUACCCAGAAUCUAACUCCCCUAGCAUUGUGGGAAUCCAGAGCAAUCUCCAUGAUUUCCUCAAGUCUCCAAGACUCCUUUCUUCUUGGUCCUCUCUCUCUCUAAAUACGUAUGCUCUGCUCACCAUGACUCAUGUCACAAACCUGAUUCCUUCACUAUUAUUGGCGACAACAGUAACGACAAAUCUAGUUAAUAUAAGUAAUUCUUUAGUUCAAUAACUUGACUAAGCACCUAGGGAAUCACAGAAAGUUGUACGUGGCUCAGUAUGAACUUUAUUUCCAGGGAAUUUGGGCUCUGGUGAGGGACCAAGAUGAGGGACCCUAAUCAAUUUCCUAAUAUUUCUUCCAUGGACCUUCUUUACAAAUUCCAAACAAGUUACAUACCACUUAAGGCUGAGUAAAACACUCUUGAUCCUCACCAAAUGCUGUACCUAUUCCAUCUCUUUUAAGCAGACUUAACUGAAUUUAGGCCAAGUAGAGGCACCUUUCACUCCCUUACUGUUACCUUCCAAUCUGUUCCACUGAGGCACUGCUGAUGAAUCAGUUCUGACCAAGGCCACUAUUAUGCCCAUAGGCUGAGAUGUACUGACUUACGUGGUCUAGCAACACCAUGUAAAAACUCAGUUUAAUUUCUAGGCUUCUUGAUAAUUAUUUAGAUGAAGAUGAAAGUCAUUUAUAUUCUCAUCAAUCAACUGAAAACAAAACAUAUGGUUCAUGGGAAGGACAGUGUAUCUCUAUGAGUUCAUAAUGCAUAGAAACGAUGAUUUGUUUUAAUUAUUUUAUUUCCUGUAUGGGAGAACUCUAAGGACAGUAGCUUUUUCUGCUGCAAAUGUACUUUCUUGUAUGAUUAUAAUUAGCACUAUUUAUGCCUGUCUUAAAUAUGAAGGCACAAUCGCCACCUUCUUCAGUAUUGAAUCUGGAACAAAACAAAGAGAUGAAUUCUUUAUUUACUGGACCUCCAUAAAAAUAACUGAGUAAAGCUUCAGAUACAAAAUAUAAACUCUGGCAACCAUGUCUCUAAAUGUGCAAUGCGUCAGCAGUGGAGAAGGCAAAAUAUGCUGUUUCUCUUUUAUCUGUCUCCAGACUUUACCCUGGGACUCUGAUAGUGGGAAGAAAAGGACACUGUGGGACUUCACUGCCUAACAACCGAGCCCUGGAACUCUAUGUCGGUGAUAAUGUAGUAAACAUUGUAAAUCAUUUUGUGAGGGGUUGGAUUCUUCCCUUUAUACUUUAGAAUAAAAAUUGAUAAAUCUAUUUAGACAUUUAGAGAUUACAUAGACGGGGAGUGUAACUGACAUUUCAUUGAACUCCUUUCAUGUGUUACAAAAUUAGUCUAUUUUAAUGCUGAAAUAGAUGUUCAGUUGGCCACACUUUGCUACCAUCACAAUAGUAAAAUAGGUGUCUUUUACCUGAUAGAUUAUGAUACCUACAAGUAAUCAUAAAUAAAAUAUCUAGAAAGGAUUUCCUAAAUUUAUAUUUUAGGUCAUGUAUAAACAUAUGACAUUCAAAAAUCCAAAAUGAGGGAAAAAUAUUAAAUAGAAUGAUGAGUCAUGAUACAUUUUUUUGUUAUUUCAUAAUUAAAAUUAUUCCAGACUUCCCUUUUUGGGAACUUCCCAUAUUGGUAUAUAUUUUCCUUACUUCUAGGGUACCUUCAAAUUUUUAUCCUGCCUACUCCCAAAAUAUAUGUGCAUUUCCAUUCUAUCCAUUCUCUAGUACCAAUAGAGAACUCAUCAACGAUUAGGAGCUGAAUUAUGUCCCCCCAAAUUUCAUAUAUUAAAUACCUAAUCCCCUAGUACCUGAGAAUAUAACCAUAUUUGGAGAUCAGUUUUUGAAGAGGUGAUUAAGUUAUUGUAAGGUCUUUUGUGGGGGCCCUAAUCCAAUAUAACUGGUGUUCUUACAAGAAGAAAUAAUUUAGAUGCAGACUUGAGCAUGCAAAAAGGGAAGACCAUGUGAAGACAGAUUGAAAAGACAGCCCUCUGAGAAGCAAAGAGAAAGGCCUCCAAAAAAAUCAACCCUGCCAACACCUUGGUUCAAAAGUUAGAUCUUCGUUCCCUUGCUCGUUUUUCUAAUGCUUUAUUUACUGGGUUGCAAAAACUGGAACACACAGGAAAUAAAUAGAAAAAGAGAUAAACA